rnacentral:tRNA from 1 species
UCCUCGUUAGUAUAGUGGACAGUAUCUCCGCCUGUCACGCGGAAGACCAGGGUUCGAUUCCCCGACGGGGAG